GGGCCUGUAGCUUAGCCUGGUAGAGCAUCGGUCUUAUAAGCCGAAGGUCGUGGGUUCAAAAAUCGUUUAAACGAAAUUCGUAUUAGCGGUUGAUUGUCCCGUCAGGCCCA
rnacentral:tRNA from 1 species